rnacentral:rRNA from 1 species
UACGUAGGGUGCGAGCGUUGUCCGGAAUUAUUGGGCGUAAAGGGCUCGUAGGCGGUUCGUCACGUCGGGAGUGAAAACUCGGAGCUUAACUCCGAGCCUGCUUCCGAUACGGGCAGACUAGAGGUAUGCAGGGGAGAACGGAAUUCCUGGUGUAGCGGUGAAAUGCGCAGAUAUCAGGAGGAACACCGGUGGCGAAGGCGGUGCUCUGGGCCGGUACUGACGCUGAGGAGCGAAAGCGUGGGGAGCAAACAGG